AAAGUCGUAACAAGGUCUCCGUUGGUGAACCAGCGGAGGGAUCAUUACCGAAGUUACCCUUCAAACCCUUGUGAACCUUACCGCUGCCGCGCUGUUUCCUCGGCGGAGGCGCGGGUCCGGGGCCGCCCCUCAGGGGGUCGUCCCGCCACCCCGUCCCCGCCGGCAGCGCCAAACUCUUGCUCUGCAUAGCGGACUGUAUGUUCUGAUUUACAAUAAAAACAAGUCAAAACUUUCAACAACGGAUCUCUUGGUUCUG
rnacentral:misc_RNA from 1 species